rnacentral:sRNA from 1 species
UGGUUACACUCAUUAUUACUUCAUGAGUGCAGGUAACACCAGGCUUCUUAGAAUGAUGAAGAGGUCUAUCACAGCUGUUUUGCUAGAAGUUGUCUCUCUUGCCAAAGACACGAUUACAAGAACUUAAAGAUUUGAUAAUCUAAGUUUCUACUAUCUCAGCAAAGAUGGGACUCCCUCAACGACUACCUUGGGAACACAGCCCUGUCACUUGAACACCAAAAAGGUAUUUCAAUUACAGCAACACAAAGGGAGCCAGUACAACAGGAUGAUGGGUAACAGAAACUUGCACCACAUAGCUUUCAGGGUUCUGUCCGGUCCAUGACCAGCAUUCAAUAAAGACUUGCUGAUGAUGCAGAAGAGCAGGUUCAGCAGUUUUCACUGGUGAAAACCGCUGACUGUGAGAAGUGCUCUGUCCAUGCUGAGGAUGGGGACAGUCCAAGGGACCUCAUCAUUGGGCCAGAAUGGGUCUUCCACACUUAUGAACAAAAACUUCCCGUGACCUACUUUCCAUCUUGAAUCAAAAUAAAAAAGUCAUCUUGCACUCCGCAGCAUACUGUGAUAUAAAAUUCUCAGGUUUUCCGCCUACCUACACGGAGCACCACCUAAAACUCGACCAAACCUCACUACAAUUUGUGCAAUAACAUGAUGCCUC